rnacentral:snRNA from 1 species
GUGCUCACUUUGGCAGGACACAUACUAAAAUUGUAAUGAUACAGAGAAGAUUAGCAUGGCCUCCGUGCAAGGAUGACACACAAAUUUGUGAAUCGCUUUAUAUUUUU